ACUCCCUGACAAAUUCCCAACAUUGUGCCGCGUUAUCUGCGCUGAAGCUUUCAAAGAGGAGGGAAAGGGCUAGGGGAGUGUUGUGUGACUGGCCUGAGAGCAGUGAGAGAGCCCGGGAGGAAGGAAGCCGGAACAAGGACGGCAGAGACGCUGAGAGAUGGAGGAAGAAGAAAGGAGGACAGGGGAGGUUCCAAAGUUCUGGAGGUUCUGGAGUGGGACCUUAAAUACAACUCUUUCUGCCCAAGGCUGGGAGAAGAACUAGAACUCCAUCUGAGGUUAUUUCACUCAUUCUUCAUUCUUAAGCUUCUAAAAGAUAUAUGCACAGCUGUUGGAUUAAAUUGAAGAUUAUGUACAAUCUAGGGUAAUGUUUAUGGAGUCAUAGUCCAUGAGGUCCAGCAUCAGGUCAGCAAAGCAGUCAGAGCACAACCAAAGAGAUCAUUUAAAAAUAAUUUAAACUCUUCACAUGUGUUUCUUAGAGUCCUUAAAAGAAACAUUUUUCUAUGGCAAUGUUUAAAAUUCUUGUUCCCUCACUCAUCUGCUUCUCUCUCACAAGGUAACUUCUAUGCCAUUCUGUCCAAAAUUCCUCUGAAAAACGUUCUUGAA